CCAGCCGUGCUCCUUGAGUCCGCUUGUGCCGGUUCUUUCCCCACCUCCUCGCCAACACGCACACCCGCAAGGGUGAGGUUGAACCUUUGAAGCGUUGCUCUCUCUCUCUUUCUUGCCCAUCGAGAUGGUCAAGCAGCGACGGUGCAACAUUCCGCCUGAACUGCGUGCCAUGGCUCGUGCCGUGUCUGAUGCCGACACCCGCCAGUUCCCGGACCUUGCCCCUGCGCCGGGGCGCGCCGGCCCUCCAGUGAGCGCGCUGCGCCACAUCACCACGGAGUUGAAUGACGAUAAGCCUCUAAGUGCUCGGGAGUUUAAGCUGUUCCGUGCCGCCUGCGAGGAGUGUCGCCAGCACCUUCACAGCGUCACGAACGGCAUCAUCGCGUCAGGGACACCGAUUGCUGAUGUGCUGGUGCUGGCGGUCCGCAUGGACAUCCUCUGCACCGAUCUCGGCCUCUCCCUGCCAGCGGUGUUUCCCACGCUGCGGGAGAUCCACACGUAUCUACUCGAUCUUAGUGAUCAGCUGGCACUCGGCCGCGGCGAGUUGCAGCGACAGGGCGUCCUUCUAGACCGCCUGAUGCGCUUCCUUCACAGUGUUCUCGAGCGGGGUGAGCGGGCCUUGCGUGAUCACGAGACAUGGGAGACGCAGCGCGAUACCUCCAACCCGGAUCGUGGCGCACUCAAGGCGGAGAGUAGCAUGGCCGCCGCUAGUGCGGUUGCCAACUCACCGCGCGAAGCCGUGCGCGUCUAUAGUGCAGGAAACAGUUGCCGGACGAAUGCGGCGGCCAGCGAUAUCGCGUUGGUCUCCUGCCGUGCCUCCCCACGACAGCCGUCCGCGCACGAGUCUUCCAUGGCUGCUGCACCGCAACCAAAGGCGUACCGGGAGACCACCGCCGCCGCGGCUGCAGGUGCCACCGUCGCUGAUACGCAGGAGCUUAUCCCAGUGAGCGGGCAGCACCUUCUCCCCCUCCACGUCGCCGACGCCGUUGCCAGCGUGAACGCCGACCUGGAUGUGCAUUUCGCGCACAUCCGAUGGUACGUGAAGGCGACAGACGAGGCGCCUGUGUACUUCGAUGCUCACGCGCACCUGGAGGACAACAUGCUGCGGAACGCGUGGGACGUCCAUGUGGGACGCAACCGCGCCGCGUGCACGACGGAGGAGUUCCUUCCCUUCCUGCCGCUGUUCCCGUCGUGGACGCAUGGGGUUAUCAUGGCGGUGCUGAACUUCAAGGACUGCGGCGUCAUCUCGCUUUACUCGCUGCAACGGUUUCUGAGUGUGUGGGGACCACUGCAGCUUCUGGAGGCGAACCUGCGCCACGAACUGGAGCUGGGUGCAGUGGACUUGUCGGAGCCGUUUGCCUACCUGGCCUUCUCCUUAGCCGCCCGGUCUGACGCAAUGGCUGGCGACUAUGUUGUGGGUCUCACCGAUGUUAUCGGCGAAGUGCGCGUAGCCGUCUUGCGUCGAGCCCGCGGGCAUCAUUGGCACCUGCGGGCGGCCCCGGGCGCUGCUCCCCGUUCCCUCUCCACGAAGAGGACGGGCAGAGGCUCUGCUACCAGCACCAUGACAUCACCGGCCCAGGCAGUGGCGGCGCCGCGCAAGCGCUUGGUCACCGUGUCCUACACCCUGUCCCACGCCACUGGUGCGUGGAUGGUGAAGGGGCUGGCGCGCGAAGAGUUCGACUCGGUCGCCGGCGCAUGUGCCGCCUUUGCGGAGAUCUUUCAGCGGCCAUGUGGGCAGCCGCUAAGGACCUCUUGCGCUGUGCCACUGCUGCCGACGUUGGCGCAUCCAGCACCGCUGCUGCCUCUGCAGGGCACGGGAAGCGGUUCCGUGGCGCCGGCCCCUUCGCUGCCCUCUUCCCCCGCUAACCCCGAGGAUGCCACCGAGGGCAAUGCCUCCGCCUUGCAUCGCGCCUGCUACCGCAACAAUGCCCGCUACGUCCGCACACUGCUGCACCGUGGCGGCGGCACAGUCAUCAACGUCGCCCUCGUGGACCCGCUGGUGAGCGACAGCUUCUGCUGGACCCCGCUGCUGUGCGCCGUCAACAAUCCGCACAGUGACCCGGUGGAGUUGGUGUUACAGCUGCUGGGGGCCGGUGCCGAGGUGGAGUACAUGGAUGACGCCGACUGCACCGCGCUCUACUACGCCAUCGCCAACGGGUAUGCCGAGACGACGCGUGUGCUGCUGGAGCACUGCCCGACGCUGUCGACUUCGCCCUACACGGUGCCGCUGCUUGUCGCGAUUGGCGCCCACGACUGCCACCUGCGCGCGUGCGAUGUGCAGAGGCUGAUGAUGGUGGUGCCGACGGCGGCUGUGCUGCGGGUGAUGGUGGCGUACGAAUCCAGCCUCGCCCUCGUCGCGCUUGCCUCGACCAUUGUGGAGGAGAAACUGAGUGGCAAGGACCAUAGUAUCUCAUCAGCGGAGCGAUACCUGGUGGCGCAGCGCUGCUCCGCGCCAGCGGAGCAGUACACCUCCGCAGAGACGGAGCAGCUAAAGCGGUGGGUGCAUCACCAUACCCAGUGCUGCCUGCGGGCACGCCAGAAUGUUCAGGAGGCGGUGCGGGUGCUGUACGCGCGACAGUACGCGUUGUCGUGGCGUGUGUGGCUUGACGCCUUGGGCGCCGAGAAGAGGGACGGUGCCGCGCCGCUGAGCCUGACGGAAGGCUGAAGGGUGUCGCUGCCAUCUUGAUCACCAGCGCAAGGGCCUCCGACUGCGCCGUCCCGCUCCCACCACGGACCCCGCCGCAUCGGCGGUGGCUCGUCUCUCCAGUCUUGGGGAAUCACUGUUGCCAACGAAGGGCGAGACAGUACGCAUCAAGUCAGCGCAGCAGCUAGUCGCCGUAGGAGCGCCCAUCGAGUCCUUGGCUUGUACAAAUCAGCGCCACAGCUAGGAUGACUACUUGUAUCUGUGUGUGUGUGUGCUGGUAGUCUUAUGCGGAUGUAAAUAGGCAACACGUUGUGUCUCUUUUUUUCGCUUUCUUUUCCUUUGUUGGCUUCACUGCUCUCUC
rnacentral:misc_RNA from 1 species